UGGCGGACGGGUGAGUAACGCGUGGGUAACCUGCCUCACACUGGGGGACAACAGUUAGAAAUGACUGCUAAUACCGCAUAAGCGCACAGGACCGCAUGGUCCGGUGUGAAAAACUCCGGUGGUGUGAGAUGGACCCGCGUUUGAUUAGCUAGUUGGUGGGGUAACGGCCUACCAAGGCGACGAUCAAUAGCCGACCUGAGAGGGUGACCGGCCACAUUGGGACCGAGACACGGCCCAA
rnacentral:rRNA from 1 species